AUACGUAGGGGGCGAGCGUUGUCCGGAAUGAUUGGGCGUAAAGGGCGCGUAGGCGGCGCGGUAAGUCUGGAGUGAAAGUCCUGCUUUCAAGGUGGGAAUUGCUUUGGAUACUGCCGCGCUUGAGUGCAGGAGAGGUUAUCGGAAUUCCCGGUGUAGCGGUGAAAUGCGUAGAGAUCGGGAGGAACACCAGUGGCGAAGGCGACUUACUGGACUGUAACUGACGCUGAGGCGCGAAAGUGUGGGGAGCAAACAGGAUUAGAUACCCUGGAAGUCCACACUGUAAACGAUGAAUGCUAGGUGUAGGGGGUAUCGACCCCUUCUGUGCCGCAGUCAACACAAUAAGCAUUCCGCCUGGGGAGUACGGCCGCAAGGUUGAAACUCAAAUGAAUUGACGGGG
rnacentral:rRNA from 1 species